UACCAGCACCCCGAGUGGUCGGGACGUUUAUUGGGCCUAAAGCAUCCGUAGCCGGUUCUACAAGUCUUCCGUUAAAUCCAACUGCUUAACAGGUGGGCUGCGGAAGAUACUAUAGAGCUAGGAGGCGGGAGAGGCAAGCGGUACUCGAUGGGUAGGGGUAAAAUCCGUUGAUCCAUUGAAGACCACCAGUGGCGAAGGCGGCUGCCAGAACGCGCUCGACGGUGAGGGAUGAAAGCUGGGGGAG
rnacentral:rRNA from 1 species